ensembl:lncRNA
AGAAUAAGUAGUAGCCAAAAUGUACACAAUGUGAUAUACAGUGUAGAUAAUGAAUGUGUCAAGUAUGACUCCAUUUACAAAUUGAAAGUGGGUAAUGUGUUGGUCGCGCAGUUGAACAAAUUAUAUAUAAUAGAACAGCAGCAUUGACUGUGUGUGUGUGAGUGUGUGUGUGUAAUGUGUGUGUGAGUCUGUGUGCAUGUAUGUGCUUGUGUGUGUUUUUUAUGACUGGUUGUGUGGGUGUUCUUGUGUGUAUGGGUUGGAUGUGUGGACAGUCAAUGCAAUUAGUCUCGAAAGAUAAAUUCACACACUAUGGAGACAGAAGGUACGGAAUGUAGCACAAUGUUGUCUUUUGUCACAAAAAAGGGACGUUUUUUUACUACCUGGAAAAUGAAACCCCACCGUAUAAUUUCUUGCGAGGACUUGAGGGGCAGUAUUGAGUGACAUUUGCAACGGAAGUCCCGCCCUGUGUUUACAUCACAUCCCUUCAGGUAAAAACACGGAAAAGAUGGACGUGCUGCUACAUCCCUGCUCUUGCUAUUCUACCUUCAAGCAUCCUUUUUUGUGUGUUUUUAAUUCAAGUUUUGCUAUGCGCAAUUAUGUCUGUCCAGUUUUGAGGAGCGUCUGUGCAAGGAGGUGUGACCUCUACAAUCCUUCGAUGCAGUUGUAUUCGGAGAAGACACAAAAGAUUACAGCUGGAGGGCGUCAUCGCCAAAAUUCGAACACCGAUGCUGAUAUCAAAGAAAAAUGGAGAACGAUUCAGGACCGGUAUGUUCGAAAAAGUCAGGUCAACUCAGUCUGGUGCCUGAUCCACUGCUGUCGACCUCGGCCCGGCACCGGCGAGCCUUAACCUUGGAUCCCCCCAACCCUCCAGGAGGCGUGUGGAUAGGGGGAGUGGGGCUAAGGCUGGAGGUGUGUGGAGAAAGCAAGGACCUGCCACAUUAUAUGCUUUAACAUGACUGGCAAAUCCACCGCGGUUAAACAAACUUAACCUUCAUUUGUGAAACGGUGCAAAUCAAAGGGCAAAAAGGGACUUGUGCUGGUAAUUACCGCUGGGGGAGAGCAACAGGGGAUUCAAUGAUGGAGGAAGGAGAGAGGUGAGCGCCGGGAGAUAGAGAGGGGAGAAUACAAAAAAGAAGGGGAAUCAUUUAAGGAGAAGACGCAUUUUUAAUGAGUUUGCCCAGAAAUUGAUUUUCCGCUGUAAUCUUUUAUUUAUAUGCAGGCUGGUCUCCCUCCCCGGCAGUGUGAGGGUCAGUCCUCUGUGAACCCUGUUAGGACCCCCACUCCGUCAAACACCCAAAGCCCAGGGAAAAUGGUAUUUUAGCAAAGGCAAACAUUGUCCUGUCUUGGCUUAAGGGGCGAAAUAGCUGUUUAUUUUUAAAAACUUGUUCCCCUCUAUCCAUCAUGCCAGACAGUCUGUCAGGAGGAAGGAAGACAGGAGCAAAUUGAAAUUGGAACUAAGUUUAGACAGUUAUCAUCAUAAUUAUCCAAUUAAUAUUAAUGGAGUAGAGUGUCAUUAGAGCAUCUCAAUUAGGCAGAGGGUAUUUGGUUAGCAAGCAACCACUAGCAGAACAUCUUGGAGGAAUGGCUGUGUAUGGUAGAAUGCAGUACUACUUGUGAAGGAGUGGCUUUCACUAAACAUUCACACUGUUUUACUUGAUUUAUAUUAUUACUAUUGGCAAUUGUAAUUUAUUGAGGGAGUUGUGAUUGCGUUUUGUAUAUUUCAUCUUCCGUAAAUGAAUACAUUUUCUAGGUGUCUCUGAGGAAAGAGAUGUUCAAUCUUAAAGGGAUUGUUUAUAUUAGGCUACAUAUGUUGAUUGUCUCAGACGGAAUGGAAUAGAUGAAUCAUACACAGAUCAUAAUUACUGAGCUCAUUAAAUGUGUUAGGUUUGUGUCCACCGUGGUGAGCCACUAUUUCAGCCAGCCAAUGUUCUUCUGUGCAUUAGAAUGAUGAAAUAGAUUGCAUACGCAUAUAAAUAGAUCACAUAUAGGUGAUCCAAUAUCUAGCUAUAUUACUCAGUAUCCCAACAUAAUAAACACAUUCAACAUUGAAUGGCUUUUGUUGCGCUGACUUCUUCGGUUUAUUUAGUGGAUCCAUAUUUCCAGUAGGUCUAAAUACAGGACAUGUAGGUCUGGUGUUUUUCUUCAAUCCACUGCAAGGUUCUGUGUGUUAGGUUCAUUAAACGCAGACGGUGUCCAGGACUAAAGGAACAUCCAGCAACAUGCAUUAGUCAUAUCUGUCAACGUGGAUUUCGGAAAGGAGUGAAUGCGUGACAAUAACUGAAUGAAAAUGAGAAUUACCAAAUGCAUAAAUAAAUAUUUUACAUAUAAAUAUAAGAUUUGCCGAAAUAAGGGUGUGUAACAUUUUUUACUAUGCCAUUAGAAGCAGAACUAUAUUUGGUUCUGCUCACACAAUUCACACAAUUCAUCUCUCUUUAGGCUACUGUAUGAUGCUAGCUCACAUUAGGCAACAUUAUUCAGAAACCUGUCAGAUUUGAUGUGAUGUGUUUACUUGAGAAAUAAUGACCCAUUUUUAUUAUUCCGUGCAUAACAAGAAAUGCAACGACUAAAGUCAUUUAAAUAGCUGUAGGCCUACUCUGAUAGAUUCAUAAUGGAAUAGGUCUAGGAUUACUAGGCUAAACACGGAAAAGCCUUGUUUUGUCACCCAACCUGAAAACAUUGCAUUUCGUGAUUUACAUCAGGCCAACUGUGGAUUUUCAAUAGAGUAGACCUAUAUUUCGAAUUUAGUACAUAUAAACUGUAGGCCAACAUAAACCAAGUACAUUUGACCACUGAAAUGGUUUAGUUUUGUUUAACCAAAUUACAGCAGUCUAAAUAUAUAAAGCUAUUGGUCUAUAAUUGGUAGGAAUUUAAGACACUGAAUAUGGUAUUAAAUACAAUUAUAUGGCACAGGUGAAAAUACCCCAAUCCUAGUUUCUAGUUUUCAAAGUAGAUUAUUCUAUAAACUAAGCAGUCUAUUUGAGUUAUUGGCAUGGUAAACUCACUAUCAUCUCCCGCAUGUUGUAGACUUGGCCUGCUGCAGAAAAGAAGCAACACAGAUUUUUGUGCUGAAAACUACGCUGCAGGAAAUGAUACAUAACCAACAAUUGUAGUAUAUGAAAGCCAACGAGCAUUACUGAAAGAGAUGGAAGUAGCAGAGGUGCCACAGUACCAUGGGCUAUUGUUUUGGUUUCAUAUUUGAGUUUGAGCGUUGCAUGUGAUUUGUUUUCUUGUGUGAGCCACCAUUGCCACCUGGUGGGGAAAGUAGCACCAGCGUAACUUGAUGACCAAAACCCUGCAUGUCCAUUGAAACCAGUAGAGGGCCGAGUGAAUUAAUUUAGAGAAUUCCACCUCUAGAUGUUCUGCACGUCUGACCUUUACAUUAUUGCACUCACUAUGUUCGAAAUAAAAUACUAACUUGCAUUCAAAUGGACAAGUAGACCGAGAGAAAAACGCAGCCCAAGAAAUGUAAGGGAAUUUCCAAAAGUUUAUUUUUCAGUAAUGAUCAAAUGCAAUAAAAUAUACUCUUAGAGAAAUAAUAAAUAUACAAUAUUUUUUUUUAUAAACAAAAUGCACAAUUUACAAAAACUUCCACUGUGUGCCUCGUCCUAUGUCUAUUAGAUAUUAGACCUUAUUACAGUUAUAGCUGUUAAUAUUGUCAUUAGUAUGUCUAUCAUCAUUAAUAUCAAUAUUAUUCAUAAUAAUAUUUCAUUUAAGGUGGUUUGACACCUCUCUAGACUCCUCUGAGAGUUCCAGACCUUGUGCUAUACUCAUUAUUCUAUCAUAUUUUUUUCUUGAGGUUUAAAGACUCAGCCUCUACAACGGACAACUUCAUAAUAUAGGUGCCAUAUAGUAUCUUCCAUUAGAUGUCUGAUAGACCGUUCAUCCAUUUUAUCAUGGGUAAAAGCUUAUUCCACACAGUGUGAGUUUAAAUAACUUUUCACAGACUGUUGCAUCUCCCUUCACAGAAGCCUGAAGACGGACCGGUCUGUCUCAGAGGUCCCUGUCUGUCUGUCUGUCUCUGUCUGUCUGUCUGUCUGUCUGUCGGUCGGUGGGUCGGGUCUGGUCUGGUCUGGUCGGGUCUGGUGUCCCCAACCCUCAUAUCCAUGUCCUGUGAAUGUGGAAAUGCUCUAAUGAUCUGUGUAAUGUAUGAUCCAUGCCCAUAGCAGUUAAUGUCCACCUCCAGUUCACGUUUGCAGAAUCUUUAUAUGUAGAUCUUUGUAUGUUCUAGGAUUAUGGCACAUAACAACGCUCACUCAGGUAUGGAGACAGUCAGUGUGUGUGUGUG